rnacentral:rRNA from 1 species
AACGAACGCUGGCGGCAUGCCUAACACAUGCAAGUCGAACGAAGGCUUCGGCCUUAGUGGCGCACGGGUGCGUAACGCGUGGGAAUCUGCCCUUGGGUUCGGAAUAACUCAGAGAAAUUUGAGCUAAUACCGGAUGAUGACGUAAGUCCAAAGAUUUAUCGCCCAAGGAUGAGCCCGCGUAAGAUUAGCUAGUUGGUGGGGUAAAGGCCUACCAAGGCGACGAUCUUUAGCUGGUCUGAGAGGAUGAUCAGCCACACUGGGACUGAGACACGGCCCAGACUCCUACGGGAGGCAGCAGUGGGGAAUAUUGGACAAUGGGCGAAAGCCUGAUCCAGCAAUGCCGCGUGAGUGAUGAAGGCCUUAGGGUUGUAAAGCUCUUUUACCAGGGAUGAUAAUGACAGCACCUGGAGAAUAAGCUCCGGCUAACUCCGUG